GGGGGGUUUCCGGGAUUAUUGGGCGUAAGAGCUCGUAGGCGGUUUGUCGCGUCUGCCGUGAAAGUCCGGGGCUCAACUCCGGAUCUGCGGUGGGUACGGGCAGACUAGAGUGAUGUAGGGGAGACUGGAAUUCCUGGUGUAGCGGUGAAAUGCGCAGAUAUCAGGAGGAACACCGAUGGCGAAGGCAGGUCUCUGGGCAUUAACUGACGCUGAGGAGCGAAAGCAUGGGGAGCGAACAGGAUUAGAUACCCUGGUAGUCCAUGCCGUAAACGUUGGGCACUAGGUGUGGGGGACAUUCCACGUUUUCCGCGCCGUAGCUAACGCAUUAAGUGCCCCGCCUGGGGAGUACGGCCGCAAGGCUAAAACUCAAAGGAAUUGACGGGGGCCCGCACAAGCGGCGGAGCAUGCGGAUUAAUUCGAUGCAACGCGAAGAACCUUACCAAGGCUUGACAUGAACCGGUAAGACCUGGAAACAGGUCCCCCACUUGUGGCCGGUUUACAGGUGGUGCAUGGUUGUCGUCAGCUCGUGUCGUGAGAUGUUGGGUUAAGUCCCGCAACGAGCGCAACCCUCGUUCCAUGUUGCCAGCGCGUUAUGGCGGGGACUCAUGGGAGACUGCCGGGGUCAACUCGGAGGAAGGUGGGGACGACGUCAAAUCAUCAUGCCCCUUAUGUCUUGGGCUUCACGCAUGCUACAAUGGCCGGUACAAAGGGUUGCGAUACUGUGAGGUGGAGCUAAUCCCAAAAAGCCGGUCUCAGUUCGGAUUGGGGUCUGCAACUCGACCCCAUGAAGUCGGAGUCGCUAGUAAUCGCAGAUCAGCAACGCUGCGGUGAAUACGUUCCCGGGCCUUGUACACACCGCCCGUCAAGUCACGAAAGUUGGUAACACCCGAAGCCGGUGGCCUAACCCCUUGUGGGAGGGAGCUGUCGAAGGUGGGACUGGCGAUUGGGACUAAGUCGUAACAAGGUAACC
rnacentral:rRNA from 1 species